rnacentral:snRNA from 1 species
GGAUGUGAGGGCGAUCUGAUUGCAACAUCUGUCACCCUAUGACCUACAGGGUUGAUUCGGCUGAUCUGGCUGGCUAGGCUAGUGUCCCCUUCCUCCCUCACCACUCCACGUGUGUCCCUCCUGAAGCUGCCCGCUCGAUGGAAGAGGACAACCAUCCCCAACAGAGGAGGACUGGUCUUCAGUCAAGGAUGUACGAGUAGCUGGGCUUCCCUGCUAGAACCUCCAAACAAGCUCUCAAGAAUCUCCUUCUUUGGAACAUCCGGGCCUUCUUUCCAACAUCCGGGCCUUCUUUCCAGUUGGGCUGGGGAAGACAC